GAUGAACGCUGGCGGCGUGCUUAACACAUGUAAGUCGAACGAAGCACUUUAACCUGAUUCUUCGGAUGAAGGUUUUUGUGACUGAGUGGCGGACGGGUGAGUAACGCGUGGGUAACCUGCCUCAUACAGGGGGAUAACAGUUAGAAAUGACUGCUAAUACCGCAUAAGACCACAGAGCCGCAUGGCUCGGUGGGAAAAACUCCGGUGGUAUGAGAUGGACCCGCGUCUGAUUAGGUAGUUGGUGGGGUAACGGCCUACCAAGCCAACGAUCAGUAGCCGAGAUGAGAGGGUGACCCGCCACAUUUGGAGUGAGACACGGCCCACACUCCUACGGGACGGAGGAGAGGGGAAUACUGCACAAUGGGGGAAACCCUGAUGCAGCGACGCCGCGUGAGCGAAGAAGUAUUUCGGUAUGUAAAGCGCUAUCAGCAGGGAAGAAAAUGACGGUACCUGACUAAGAAGCACCGGCUAAAUACGUG
rnacentral:rRNA from 1 species